rnacentral:lncRNA from 1 species
AGAAGACUCUUACCGAAUCGAAGUUGAGGAAUUUUCCAACGCGGUGGCUCGUCGGUAACAGAUUCACAGGUAACUUGUGUCUUCUUUUCUCCUCCGCAUUUCCUCUUCUUUCUUCUGAGCGCUUCUUCUUCUCCCCUCUUCUUUGUUCUGAACACUUCUUCUUCUCCGUUCUUCUUCUCUUCUGUAGAUCGUAGUAAUGGAAAAAAGUUGUUGAUUCGUGAUAUUGCUUGCUGCGUUUUUCAUGGGUGUGCUUGAAUAAGGAGUGUAUUUAGUGUAAGGUUAAGAAAUAAUUGAGAUUGAGAGAGUUAGAUUUAUGGUUCUGGUUUUCGAGUGAAGUGAAGAAGUCCCCUCAAAAUGCAGAGUGAUGAACAUUUUAUAGAAGAGGGAAAGAGUUAAUAGAACUAACUCUGUUAACUGAUCCAGGUGAAAAAGUUGUUAGAACGUAAUACUCUGUUAGUCAUUGGGAGUUGAAAUUUCAGUUAGAAACGUUUUCAGUUAAAUCGAUUUCCUGAAUUAGUUAGCUAGGUUUUCUGUUAGUUAGAUUAGGUGUGAGUUAAUGUUAGUUACUCUAACUGCUAUGACUGGAAAUCCUAGAUGACUGAUCAAUGGAAGUUAUAUGGCUAUUGAAGGUAACGGCCUUCUGAAUAGGUUUGAUUCAAAUGCAAGUCAUGGUUGUUUUGAUCAGCUAAUGCAGGGUCCUGUGUUAUUGGAUUAUGCAGGUUUACACUUGGUCAGAUUUUGGAGUUGCUGAGUUGCUUCGAAUCCGGGUGGAAUUGGGAUUGAGUUAUUUUUACAGGUUUGUUAAUUAGUCGUGCCUUAACUUGAUUUUUCCUUUGGAAUAUGAGUAUGACCCUGUUAUAUGUGAUCUUCAUCUUGUACUCAUUUUGACUGGAUUGAUUGAAUAUGAAUGAUAGCAUUGCUCCACAGUUUGUUUUUGUUGCAAAUAUCAUGUUAGAUUUGGUUUGUUGUGAACUUAACUUGGAAUUUCACUAUUUUUUGUUUGUUGCUACUUGAAUGUCAUGGCUGCUAGUGUUUUGUGUUCUGUUGUCUCUGACUUGGGUAAAUGGUUGAAACUAAUUGUGAAAUUGGACAUGUUAAUUGGUUAGUUUGAACGUGAAUGGUAUAUCCUGUCUCUAAGUUAGCUUUAUGAAUUAAUUUUAUUAAUUGAUGUCAACUCGGGACCUCUUGCACCCUAAGUGAGAAUCAUACCACUAGACCUAAUGCCAAAGUAAUAAUCGAAGUUAAAUUAGUGAUAGUCUCAUAGAUUAGACAGAAAACGAGUCUUGGAUUCACACUUCUAUCUUUUUACAGAGUUAUUCUAACUCAGAUUCGCGGCAUCGCUCAUCCACCAACACUCCUUCAG